rnacentral:rRNA from 1 species
UUGGAGGGCAAGUCUGGUGCCAGCAGCCGCGGUAAUUCCAGCUCCAAUAGCGUAUAUUAAAGUUGUUGCAGUUAAAAAGCUCGUAGUUGAAUUUCGGGAUCAAUGGAUCGGUCAUGCCGUUGGUAUGUACUGGUUUUAUUGAUUCUCACCUUCUAAAGAACCAUGAUGGCAUUAAUUUGUUGUUGUGGGGAAUUAGGACUGUUACCUUGAAAAAAUUAGAGUGUUUAAAGCAGGCUUACGCUUGAAUACAUUAGCAUGGAAUAACGAAAUAGGACAUCGCAUUCUAUUUUGUUGGUUUCUAGGAUCGAUGUAAUGAUUAAUAGGGAUAGUUGGGGGCAUUAGUAUUCAAUUGUCAGAGGUGAAAUUCUUGGAUUUAUUGAAGACUAACUACUGCGAAAGCAUUUGCCAAGGAUGUUUUCAUUAAUCAAGAACGAAAGUUAGGGGAUCGAAGACGAUCAGAUACCGUCGUAGUCUUAACCAUAAACUAUGCCGACUAGGGAUCGGAUGAUGUUAAUUUUUUAAUGACUCAUUCGGCACCUUACGGGAAAC